rnacentral:lncRNA from 1 species
AUGAAGACCCUGGGCCAGACCUCAGUGACAGGAGUCUUGGACACUGUACAUUCCCUCAAACGAUCCUCCAGCUUGGACACAUUAAGACGGAUGCAGUUUUCCAAACUUAAAUGCUCUGAUGUCACUUCAGGUUCUGGCUCGGGAACGCUUGGACCAGGUGCACAGGAUUCCUCUGGAUCAACAAGAUCCACUUCAGGUUCUGGACCAGGAGCGCUGGGAUCUGGGACACACGAUUGUUCAAUAUCGACCAGAUUCAUUUCAGGUUCUGGCUUGGGAAUGCUGGGAUCUGGGAGACAUGAUUCCUCUGAAUCAAGUAGAUCCAUUUCAGGUUCUGGGAUACAUGACUGCUCAGUAUCGACCAGAUUCACCUCAGGUUCUUGCUUGGAAAUGCUGGGAUCUGGACCAAAUGAUUCCUCUGGAUCAAGAAGAUCCACUUCAGGUUCUGGGAUACAUGACUGCUCGGUAUCGACCAGAUUCACUUCAGGUUCUUGCUUGGAAAUGCUGGGAUCUGGCACAAAUGAUUCCUCUGGAUCAACAAGAUCCACUUUAGGUUCUGGAUCAGGAAUGCUGGGAUCUUGACCAAAUGAUUUCUCUGUAUCAAGAAGAUCAACUUCGGGUUCUGGAUCAGGAACGCUGGGAUCUGGGACACACUGUUGUUCGCUAUCGACCAGAUUCACUUCAGGUUCUUGCUUGGAAAUGCUGGGAUCUGGACCAAAUGAUUCCUCUGGAUCAAGAAGAUCCACUUCAGGUUUCCCAACAGCAUUCAAUGCAUUUGUCUGGAAGAUUGCAGUCAAUUGCUGGAAGACUGCACUUAUUUCUUGAACAUCCACCCAGCAGUGCUUUCUAAAAAAAAUAAAAAGAGGAAAACAAUCAAGGUAAGUAAAGUUUGAUGACAAACUUGAUCAAACCAUUGUCUGACAAAUUAAAAUUAAAGCAUGAGGUUUAGAUUUUUAUUCCGAUAAUUCAGAAAAACUCUAAAUCAUACUUUAAACCCCAUUAGACCUCAUCUGACUGCUUAGAAACCACAUCAAAAACCAAUUAGACCUUUACAAACAACUAUGAGUCCUCUGCUAGCUGUUGAUGGCAUGUAUCCAACCAUUUUUAACGAAUAGAUAGAUAGAAAGAUAUAGAAACAAAAUCAGAUCAGCCUGAAGGUCCCUGCCAAAUUUGAUAGUCGUAACUGGAAAGUUCAAAGAUAUUUUACUCUUGGAAAAUCAGGGUGUCAGAAGAAGUGGACGAAUAAUAGGAAAACAGUAUUACGUCUUUCUCAACCUAACAUAAUAAUACACUAUCAGAAACAUCUCUAACCACACAAAUAAACAUGAUUAAGACAUAUAAAUGUAUGUCUUCACCUGUCGGGCUGUUCUCCUGAACACCGCUGUCUUCCACUGAAGGUCCUGCUGGGUCUCUCAGAUCUUCAGACACCAGCGCAGGCUUCUUCAGCUC